CAGCAGCCGCGGGAAUACAGAGGUCUCAAGCGUUGUUCGGAUUCAUUGGGCGUAAAGGGCGCGUAGGCGGUGAUGUAAGUUGGGUGUGAAAUCCCAGGGCUCAACCCUGGAGCUGCAUUCAAUACUGCAUUGCUAGAGUACUGGAGAGGAGAUUGAAAUUCACGGUGUAGCAGUGAAAUGCGUAGAUAUCGUGAGGAAGACCAGUGGCGAAGGCGAAUCUCUGGACAGUAACUGACGCUGAGGAGCGAAAGCGUGGGGAGCGAACAGGAUUAGAUACCCCUGUAGUCCCUGUCUCUUAUAC
rnacentral:rRNA from 1 species